rnacentral:rRNA from 1 species
UACGUAGGGGGCAAGCGUUAUCCGGAUUUACUGGGUGUAAAGAGAACGCAGGCGGUCUUUUAAGUCUGAUGUGAAAGCCUUCGGCUUAACCGGAGUAGUGCAUUGGAAACUGGGAGACUUGAGUGCAGAAGAGGAGAGUGGAACUCCAUGUGUAGCGGUGAAAUGCGUAGAUAUAUGGAAGAACACCAGUGGCGAAAGCGGCUCUCUGGUCUGUAACUGACGCUGAGGUUCGAAAGCGUGGGUAGCAAACAGG